UAGGGAAUCUUCGGCAAUGGACGAAAGUCUGACCGAGCAACGCCGCGUGAGUGAAGAAGGUUUUCGGAUCGUAAAACUCUGUUGUUAGAGAAGAACAAGGACGUUAGUAACUGAACGUCCCCUGACGGUAUCUAACCAGAAAGCCACGGCUAACUACGUGCCAGCAGCCGCGGUAAUACGUAGGUGGCAAGCGUUGUCCGGAUUUAUUGGGCGUAAAGCGAGCGCAGGCGGUUUCUUAAGUCUGAUGUGAAAGCCCCCGGCUCAACCGGGGAGGGUCAUUGGAAACUGGGAGACUUGAGUGCAGAAGAGGAGAGUGGAAUUCCAUGUGUAGCGGUGAAAUGCGUAGAUAUAUGGAGGAAUACCGGUGGCGAAGGCGGCCCCCUGGACAAAGACUGACACUCAGGUGCGAAAGCGUGGGGAGCAAACAGG
rnacentral:rRNA from 1 species